UCAAAGACACAUUUUUUUGCCAAAACCGGAAAAACAUUAUUUCCCGUCAAAACCGGAAUGCACACUUUCCCGUCAAAUAUGGAAAAAUGUAAUUUCCCGCUAAAACGAGAAGAAAAACACAAUUUCCCGCUAAAACCAGAAAAACACAAUUUCUCGCUAAAACCAGAAAAUCACAAUUUCCCGCUAAAACCAGAAAAACACAAUUUCCCGCUAAAACCAGAAAAAC
rnacentral:lncRNA from 1 species